AGAUGGCGACCGGCGCACAGGUGAGUAACACGUAUCCAACCUGCCGAUAACUCGGGGAUAGCCUUUCGAAAGAAAGAUUAAUACCCGAUGGUAUAAUCAGACCGCAUGGUUUGAUUAUUAAAGAAUUUCGGUUAUCGAUGGGGAUGCGUUCCAUUAGAUAGUAGGCGGGGUAACGGCCCACCUAGUCAACGAUGGAUAGGGGUUCUGAGAGGAAGGUCCCCCACAUUGGAACUGAGACACGGUCCAA
rnacentral:rRNA from 1 species